rnacentral:rRNA from 1 species
ACCAGAAAGUCACGCUACUACGUGCCAGCAGCCGCGGUAAUACGUAGGUGGCAAGCGUGUCCGGAUUUAUUGGGCGUAAAGCGAGCGCAGGCGGAAAGAUAAGUCUGAUGUGAAAGCUCUCGGCUCAACCGAGGAAUUGCAUCGGAAACUGUAUUUCUUGAGUGCAGAAGAGGAGAGUGGAACUCCAUGUGUAGCGGUGGAAUGCGUAGAUAUAUGGAAGAACACCAGCGGCGAAGGCGGCUCUCUGGUCUGUAACUGACGCUGAGGCUCGAAAGCAUGGGUAGCGAACAGGAUUAGAUACCCUGGUAGUCCAUGCCGUAAACGAUGAGUGCUAAGUGUUGGGAGGUUUCCGCCUCUCAGUGCUGCAGCUAACGCAUUAAGCACUCCGCCUGGGGAGUACGACCGCAAGGUUGAAACUCAAAGGAAUUGACGGGGGCCCGCACAAGCGGUGGAGCAUGUGGUUUAAUUCGAAGCAACGCGAAGAACCUUACCAGGUCUUGACAUCUAGUGCCAUCCUAAGAGAUUAGGAGUUCCCUUCGGGGACGCUAAGACAGGUGGUGCAUGGCUGUCGUCAGCUCGUGUCGUGAGAUGUUGGGUUAAGUCCCGCAACGAGCGCAACCCUUGUUAUUAGUUGCCAGCAUUAAGUUGGGCACUCUAAUGAGACUGCCGGUGACAAACCGGAGGAAGGUGGGGAUGACGUCAAGUCAUCAUGCCCCUUAUGACCUGGGCUACACACGUGCUACAAUGGGCAGUACAACGAGAAGCGAACCUGUGAAGGCAAGCGGAUCUCUUAAAGCUGUUCUCAGUUCGGACUGCAGGCUGCAACUCGCCUGCACGAAGCUGGAAUCGCUAGUAAUCGCGGAUCAGCACGCCGCGGUGAAUACGUUCCCGGGCCUUGUACACACCGCCCGUCACACCAUGAGAGUCUGUAACACCCAAAGCCGGUGAGACAACCUGAAAAGGAAUCAGCCGUCUA